GACCCACUCUUAGUGUCUNCGAGUUUUUUGAAAUAAAAAGGAGCAAUAACCUCUUUCUUGUUCUAUCAAGAGGGUGGUAUUGCUCCUUUUUUAUUUAGUAUUAUUUGACUUACCUAUAAUUUCUUUAAUAUAAUUUCUUUAAUAUAAUUUCUUUAAUAUAAUUUCUUUAAUUAAUAUAAUUUCUUUAAAUGGAAGCAGUUUUGAAAAAGAAAAGAUAAAAAUAUUGGACUUUUUACAACGAUAAGAAAGAAAAACUGAUAAAUAGUAAAAUUUGAAUCUUGAAAAGUGUAAGGAAAAGAAUCGAAAGG
rnacentral:misc_RNA from 1 species